rnacentral:rRNA from 1 species
AUGAUUAAACAGAUCCUUGGCAGGCUGCCCAAGAAGACAGGGAAGGCCGGCGAUGGCCGGGAUGCUGCCACGGCCAACGGCAACGAGCCGUCCAACUCUUACAGCGUUGCAAGGAGUGUGGAGCCUGGUGGGAAUAAGAGAGCAGGAAAUGGGGAGCACCUGCCACCAGCUGGCUCCGCUUCUACUCCGGCGAUGAAUGGGGCUGUGGUGUAUCACUCCAACGAGCCGCUGCCGGCGUUCAAGGACGUGCCGGUCUCGGAGAAGCAGAAUCUGUUUGUCAGAAAGGCCACCCUGUGCUGUGCUGUGUACGACUUCGCCGAUCCGACCAAGAACCUGAAGGAGAAGGAGAUGAAGCGGCAGACGCUUAUGGAGCUUGUUGAUUAUGUCACUUCUGCAAAUGGCAAGUUCUCGGAGGUCAUCAUGUUGGAGAUCAGCAAGAUGGUUGCAAUUAACUUGUUCCGGAGCUCGAAUCCCACUCCUCGUGAGAACAAGGCCAUCGAAGGAGUUGAUAUGGAGGAAGAAGAGCCUCUCAUGGAUCCAGCAUGGUCACACCUGCAGAUCGUUUAUGAGGUUUUCUUGAGAUUUGUAGCGUCGCAAGAGACAGACGCAAAGCUGGCCAAGAGAUACAUAGACCAUUCCUUCAUUCUCAAGCUACUAGAUCUUUUUGACUCUGAAGACCCCAGGGAAAGGGACUAUCUCAAGACAAUACUCCAUCGAAUAUAUGGUAAAUUCAUGGUGCAUCGCCCAUUCAUCAGGAAAGCAAUUAACAACAUCUUCUACAGAUUUAUAUUUGAAACGGAAAAGCAUAACGGUAUUGCAGAGCUGCUGGAGAUCUUGGGCAGUAUAAUUAAUGGUUUUGCCCUGCCACUUAAAGAGGAGCACAAAUUGUUCCUUCUCCGUGCACUGAUCCCACUUCAUAAGCCAAAGUGUGUGGCAAUGUACCAUCAGCAGCUAUCGUAUUGCAUCACACAGUUUGUUGAGAAGGAUUGCAAACUUGCUGACACUGUUAUUAGGGGCUUGCUGAAGUAUUGGCCUAUAACCAACAGCUCAAAGGAGGUGAUGUUCUUGGGUGAGCUAGAAGAGGUUUUAGAGGCAACACAGCUUGCAGAGUUCCAAAGAUGCAUGGUUCCGCUCUUCCGUCAGAUUGCCAGUAGCAUGAACAGCUCACACUUCCAGGUGGCAGAGCGAGCACUGUUUCUAUGGAACAACGACCACAUUGAGAACUUAAUCAAGCAGAAUUACAAGGUGAUACUACCCAUCAUCUUUCCCGCGCUCGAGAGAAACGCCCGGGGUCACUGGAACCAAGCUGUCCGGAGCCUGACGCUGAAUGUGCGCAAGAUCUUCACCGAUCAUGAUUCCGCGUUUUUCGGAGAGUGCAUGCAGAAGUUCGACGACGACGAGCUCAAGCAGGAGGAGUCCAGUUCGAAGCGGGAAGUGCUGUGGAAGCGCCUGGAGGAAAUGGGCGGCGAGAGCAGCCCCUCGGGUAUACCCAACGGCAAAUCCAGUCAAUAG